CACGGGGGGAGCAAGCGUUGUUCGGAAUCACUGGGCGUAAAGGGCGUGUAGGCGGUCAGGUAAGUGGAAUGUGAAAUCCCUCGGCUCACCCGAGGACCUGCAUCCCAAACUGCCUGGCUUGAGUAUGGGAGAGGAUGAGGGAAUUCCUGGUGUAGCGGUGAAAUGCGCAGAUAUCGGGAAGAACACCCGUGGCGAAGGCGGCUCUCUGGGACGGUACUGACGCUGAGACGCGAAAGCGUGGGGAGCGAACAGG
rnacentral:rRNA from 1 species